rnacentral:lncRNA from 1 species
UUUUGGCUUCUAGCUCUCUUCACAGCACGUUGUAGCACCUCAAAUUUGCCCUCCUCAUUCAUGCAUUCAUUUUAGGUCAUUUAACAUUUCAUAUUGCAUUUCAACAUGUUCAAAUAGGGUCUGUUCAUCAUUCAAAAUGUUAAUCUUGAAGGAGCAAAAGUUUGUUCGUGAGCUGUCAUGCUCGCUAGGCGAGCAGAAUGGGUCGCCUAGCGAGUCCCAAGAAAAGCCACCAGAAUCACCUGCGCUCAGAGGAAUUUCCUGAACUGUCAUGCUCGCUAGGCAAAGCC